rnacentral:rRNA from 1 species
CAGUCGACGGGAGGAAAAAAGAAGCUUGCUUCUUUUUGAAUCUAGUGGCAAACGGGUGAGUAACACGUAAACAACCUGCCUUCAGGAUGGGGACAACAGACGGAAACGACUGCUAAUACCGAAUGUGUUCCGGAGACCGCAUGAUUUCCGGAAGAAAGGAUGGCCUCUAUUUAUAAGCUAUCGCCUGAAGAGGGGUUUGCGUCUGAUUAGGCAGUUGGUGAGGUAACGGCCCACCAAACCUACGAUCAGUAGCCGGUCUGAGAGGAUGAACGGCCACACUGGAACUGAGACACGGUCCAGACUCCUACGGGAGGCAGCAGUGGGGAAUCUUCCGCAAUGGACGAAAGUCUGACGGAGCAACGCCGCGUGAGUGAUGACGGCCUUCGGGUUGUAAAGCUCUGUGAUCGGGGACGAAUGGCUGGUGCGUUAAUACCGCAUCAGAGUGACGGUACCCGAAUAGCAAGCCACGGCUAACUACGUGCCAGCAGCCGCGGUAAUACGUAGGUGGCAAGCGUUGUCCGGAAUUAUUGGGCGUAAAGCGCGCGCAGGCGGCUUCUUAAGUCCAUCUUAAAAGUGCGGGGCUUAACCCCGUGAUGGGAUGGAAACUGGGAGGCUGGAGUAUCGGAGAGGAAAGUGGAAUUCCUAGUGUAGCGGUGAAAUGCGUAGAGAUUAGGAAGAACACCGGUGGCGAAGGCGACUUUCUGGACGACAACUGACGCUGAGGCGCGAAAGCGU